UACGUAGGGGGCAAGCGUUGUCCGGAUUUAUUGGGCGUAAAGAGCGUGUAGGCGGCCAUACAGGUCAGCUGUGAAAACUCGAGGCUCAACCUCGAGACGUCGGUUGAAACCGUAUGGCUAGAGUCCGGAAGAGGAGAGUGGAAUUCCCGGUGUAGCGGUGAAAUGCGUAGAGAUCGGGAGGAACACCAGUGGCGAAGGCGGCCAUCUGGAUCAACACUGACGCUGAGGCACGAAAGCGUGGGGAGCAAACAGG
rnacentral:rRNA from 1 species